CCUUAAAAUCCUCAAAAGUCUUAUUUUGAUACUUUCUCUCACUAGUUAAGUGUUUUAGAGAGAGAAAGAGAGACGUCUUAUACUAGCUUGAGGACUUUUAAGAAGGAGUUCAAUUACAAAGCUACCAAGGUUCCAACGAGACUCCACAUCCCCAUUCGAACCAUUAGUGGAAGUUGGAGUCGAUUUAAAAAUCAACGAGGAUCGAUCAAGAGGCAGUUGGAACCUAGGUCGAGGUGUCCACAUAGAUUCGUCUCCUUGGUAGGUAUGUCGGCAUUUAAUAGCUGUACCUUUGCCAAGGUCACUCCGUUUGAAGUCGAGUGUCUUUUUGUUGUGUAUAGAUAAACAUGAUGUAAAUUACUAAGAUAUAUGUCUUAGACAAUAUAUGUAUAUUUUGAUUGGAAAUGCCAUUAUGAGUUGGCAAUGGUUAACACUAUUUUAGGUUAACAUAAAUGCAAGUAUUUGAUUGCUGUAGCACAUUAUUAAUGUACUUGUAGGUUGAAAUAAUGAAAUGUGACUUUAGGAACAUUUGAUAGAAUGAUGAACAGGUUAUAUAAAUAGGCUUGCUUGGGCUUAGUGGGCUAUGCCCAUUGGGUCCAUGCACCGGUCAUGGCUCGAAAAUUGGGCUAUGACAGUUUCAAUUGCAUUAAGAUAUGGAACUUCAAGAUU